CCUACGUGAUGCAGCAGUGGGGAAUAUUGGACAAUGGGCGAAAGCCUGAUCCAGCCAUGCCGCGUGUGUGAAGAAGGCCUUCGGGUUGUAAAGCACUUUCAGUGGGGAAGAAAGCCUUGGGGCUAAUACCCUCGAGGAAGGACAUCACCCACAGAAGAAGCACCGGCUAACUCCGUGCCAGCAGCCGCGGUAAUACGGAGGGUGCGAGCGUUAAUCGGAAUUACUGGGCGUAAAGCGCGCGUAGGCGGUCUGAUAAGCCGGUUGUGAAAGCCCCGGGCUCAACCUGGGAACGGCAUCCGGAACUGUCAGGCUAGAGUGCAGGAGAGGAAGGUAGAAUUCCCGGUGUAGCGGUGAAAUGCGUAGAGAUCGGGAGGAAUACCAGUGGCGAAGGCGGCCUUCUGGACUGACACUGACGCUGAGGUGCGAAAGCGUGGGUAGCAAACAGGAUUAGAUACCCUAGUAGUC
rnacentral:rRNA from 1 species